GAUUGGGAAUGAUGAGAAACCUAGAAAACAGUUAUCCCUGUCUGAAGAAUAAUGUUGAUGGGUUAUUAUUUUCUGACUCAAUC